GAUCAGUAGAUUAGGCACAUCUAAGUUUGAAACUUUUUAUGUCAUAGUCUGUAUUUCUCCCUCGACCAUUGAACUUUACCUUCUUUAGGUCUAAAGACGAGCAGAGGAUUCUGUAUACACACAUGCUGAUGCAGUAACUAUAAUACAGAUGAGUCGAAACAACAGAAAGACACAUCGGACCAAAGAGAGCAUGGCAGACCUUCCUUCAGAAGAUUCUCUACUUGGUCUUAUUUUUCCAAUAAAGAGCAGUGGUCGGGAUUUUGAUGCUCCAAACUAUGACACCACUGAAUAAAGGUGGAAGGAAGACCUCUUUGCUGGGACAACUCAUCAGCCUAAGAAUUCUGUCACACACUUUACCCUGUUUAAGGCUGGAGUCUGCCAAGUUUCCUCCCAAGUACUCAUCAAAGAAGUCCCUCAAAUAACGCCAAGGUUAUAAUAAUGUGCUGUAGUUAAAGUGACAAUAAAGAAGAAGUAAAAGUGAAAAGCAGUGAAUCACUUGUGACCACCAUCACCCAGAUGAGAAGAGAAUGGAGUUUGAACAUUUGCAGUUGACAGCGCACAUGUUCAGAACACCAAAUGGAACCCGGCUAAAAGAUCUGGACGUGUCUGCUGAUGGCUUCCUGGUCUUGGCUGAGCUUUGAAGACCCCCAAGCAGCCUACUAUAACGCCAGAAUCUGCUACCAGAAUGGGACCGAAUUGAUGAAUAAAACAGGAACGGGCUGUAUUCCCAUGAAGGUUACACGCUGCUUGCUAAAAUAUACAUGCUUUGAAAAGAAAACAUCAUCAACAAUGACAAUAACAAACCCUGCAGGAUCAAAGCGACAAACGAAGAGACUUGAUAUGCC
rnacentral:lncRNA from 1 species